UAAGGUAGAGUUUCUUUAGUUCUUUAACUCAUUCUUGACUAUUGUAUAAAUUAUUAAUAUCAUUCAACAUUUGAUGUCAUCUCUGACACAAGAAAACUAAGAAUCUUCAAAGGAGAAGAAGUUUUCAUGUGAAAAUUCAUAUACCUGGAAUAUGAAGGAGAGUGUUUUGCCACAAGGAGCUGAGAGUGUUUAGCCGUAAGGAGUUGAGAAACUGAUAGUAAUGCAUUAGACUACUUACAGGAGCUUUACUCUUCCAUAUGGACUUCUAUGGCCAAAGAUCUGGCUGGGUAGUACCAUUAGAGUGAGUUGUAGGAACACUUGACCGAAAAUACCCCAUCACCUUACUCUGCUA